rnacentral:rRNA from 1 species
GAUGAACGCUGGCGGCGUGCCUAAUACAUGCAAGUCGAGCGAACAGAUGAGGAGCUUGCUCCUCUGACGUUAGCGGCGGACGGGUGAGUAACACGUGGAUAACCUACCUAUAAGACUGGGAUAACUUCGGGAAACCGGAGCUAAUACCGGAUAAUAUAUUGAACCGCAUGGUUCAAUAGUGAAAGACGGUUUUGCUGUCACUUAUAGAUGGAUCCGCGCCGCAUUAGCUAGUUGGUAAGGUAACGGCUUACCAAGGCAACGAUGCGUAGCCGACCUGAGAGGGGGAUCGGCCACACUGGAACUGAGACACGGUCCAGACUCCUACGGGAGGCAGCAGUAGGGAAUCUUCCGCAAUGGGCGAAAGCCUGACGGAGCAACGCCGCGUGAGUGAUGAAGGUCUUCGGAUCGUAAAACUCUGUUAUUAGGGAAGAACAAAUGUGUAAGUAACGAUGCACGUCUUGACGGUACCGAAUCAGAAAGCCACGGCUAACUACGU